rnacentral:sRNA from 1 species
CUGGCUUCAGGCUCAUGUUUCUGACUUGGAAUAUCGAAUUCGUCAGCAAACAGACAUUUACAAACAGAUACGUGCUAAUAAGGUAAGGGAUAAGUAUCUGGUGUUUUUAAAUGCUGCCGGAAACUAUCAAUAUCGCUGGUCUCAAACUCUUGAUCUCAAAUGAUCUUCCUUGCUUUGGCCUCCCAGAAGCACUGGCUUGACUCUACAUUGUUUUUUAAAAUCUCCUCUUCUGACUGCUCUUUGAGAUUACACAGCUGUAGCUGAGGAUGGAAAUGUUAUUGAGGAUGGGAAGUGGAAGAGCAUUGAAACUUUUGAAUAGGGAAGGAGCUGAAUGGGAACCGCAGAAGCUUAGAACACCUUUCUCUUCAAAAUUUUUGUAAAGUUGU